AGUAGAGUAUGAAAUAUCAAGCUGGUUCAGUUUAGACUUAGUGAACCCAUGCUUGGAACAGGAGACGAAUGACGAGGCUUAUGAAGAGUUUUAUUGCGUUUUGUUUAUUCAAUGUUAUUGUUUUAGUUAUUAGUUAUUUUUUU